rnacentral:rRNA from 1 species
AACCAGUACCGUGAGGGAAAGGCGAAAAGAACCCCUGUGAGGGGAGUGAAAUAGAACCUGAAACCGUGUACGUACAAGCAGUGGGAGCCCUUCGGGGUGACUGCGUACCUUUUGUAUAAUGGGUCAGCGACUUACAUUUUGUAGCGAGGUUAACCGUAUAGGGGAGCCGUAGGGAAACCGAGUCUUAACUGGGCGUCUAGUUGCAAGGUGUAGACCCGAAACCGGGUGAUCUAGCCAUGGGCAGGUUGAAGGUUGAGUAACAUCAACUGGAGGACCGAACCCACUAACGUUGCAAAGUUAGGGGAUGACCUGUGGCUGGGGGUGAAAGGCCAAUCAAACUCGGAGAUAGCUGGUUCUCCCCGAAAGCUAUUUAGGUAGCGCCUCGGACGAAUACUACUGGGGGUAGAGCACUGUUUGGGCUAGGGGGUCAUCCCGACUUACCAACCCCAUGCAAACUCCGAAUACCAGUAAGUAAUAUCCGGGAGACACACGGCGGGUGCUAACGUCCGUCGUGAAGAGGGAAACAACCCAGACCGCCGGCUAAGGUCCCAAAGUUCUGGUUAAGUGGGAAACGAUGUGGGAAGGCUCAGACAGCUAGGAUGUUGGCUUAGAAGCAGCCAUCAUUUAAAGAAAGCGUAAUAGCUCACUAGUCGAGUCGGCCUGCGCGGAAGAUGUAACGGGGCUCAAACCAGGCACCGAAGCCGCGGAUUCACACUUAUGUGUGAGUGGUAGGGGAGCGUUCUGUAAGUCUGCGAAGGUGUAUCGAGAGGUAUGCUGGAGAUAUCAGAAGUGCGAAUGCUGACGUAAGUAACGAUAAAGGGGGUGAAAAGCCUCCUCGCCGGAAGACCAAGGGUUCCUGUCCAACGUUAAUCGGGGCAGGGUGAGUCGACCCCUAAGGCGAGGCCGAAAGGCGUAGUCGAUGGGAAGCAGGUUAAUAUUCCUGCACGACUUGUAAUUGCGAUGGGGGGACGGAGAAGGCUAGGUGGGCCAGGCGACGGUUGUCCUGGUGAAAGUGCGUAGGUGGUGUUUCUAGGCAAAUCCGGAGACACAACACUGAGACACGAGACGAACACACUACGGUGUGGAAGCCAUUGAUGCCCUGCUUCCAGGAAAAGCCUCUAAGCUUCAGAUUACAAGUCAUCGUACCCCAAACCGACACAGGUGGUCGGGUAGAGAAUACCAAGGCGCUUGAGAGAACUCGGGUGAAGGAACUAGGCAAAAUAGAACCGUAACUUCGGGAGAAGGUUCGCUCUUGACAGUGAAGUCCCUUGCGGAUGGAGCAGUUGGGAGUCGCAGUGACCAGAUGGCUGGGACUGUUUAUCAAAAACACAGCACUCUGCAAACACGAAAGUGGACGUAUAGGGUGUGACACCUGCCCGGUGCCGGAAGGUUAAUUGAUGGGGUUAGCGCAAGCGAAGCUCUUGAUCGAAGCCCCGGUAAACGGCGGCCGUAACUAUAACGGUCCUAAGGUAGCGAAAUUCCUUGUCGGGU